UUUAUGUCAAUUUUCUAUUAUAUACCUAAGUUAGAAAAUCUCCCACCUGUGUAUAAACCAUGGCUUCAGGUAAAGAGAAAUUCCGAACCACAGCUGCUGAGCUACGGCUGAGAAGUCCAAAGGCUGUGCCACGUUGGUGGCACCCUGGUGUCUGCCUAUUGAACUGUGCCUAUAGCCUGAGUGUGAUUUUGACCUUCUCUUCACAUUCUGUUUACAUGACAGUUUUCAUAAAGAUGCCGAGCUUUAUCAUCUGGUAUCAGUUCUUACUUCUAACAUGGCUUUCCCUAGCAACUCAUGGCUUUGCAAUGGAUGUUUUCGUAGAAUCAUAGGAUCAUAGAAUUGCUCACCUUGGAAAAGACCUCAAAGAUCAUCGAGUCCAACCACAACCUAACCAUACUACCCUAUCAACCCUCUGCUAAAUCAUGUCCCUGGGCACCACAUCCAAAUGGUUUUUAAACACAUCCAGGGAUGGUGACCCAACCCCGUUCCUCGGGAGCCUAUUCCGGUGCUUUUGUAACACAAAGAAGAGAUCUGGAUAACUCUGCACCCUUGCUUUGUCACCAGGACCCCUUGCACGGUCCUUCUGUGGUUCUGCUUGGUUUAGCUUUACAAGCAACAGGAAGAAAUGUUGCAUUGCUGCAUAGUGGUAAAUUGUAAAAUUUUAUACAAAAAUUUAUAAUCACACAGUAGCCCUAAUAUGCAGCCGAGUUUGCUGGCAAGCUCUAAACAGACUUUUUUCUAGGUACUGAAGUUGCACUUCUGUUAGAAAUAUAGUUCUAGGUUUCAUUGCACCCAAAUAUGUUGGUAUUUCUCAGACAAAGAAACAAGAAUCUAAUGCACUCAACGGGAAUGCGGAUUUUUAAGUCAACAUUUAUAUUACUUUCUAAAGUCCUAAUUUUGCAGUAAGAUUUUCAAUUAUCAUUUUCAAGUGUGAUACAAAAGACUCAAGCAUUUGGAAAAUGGUUUGCAGUAGAAAAUCACCACAGAGAAAAUGCAGGUUGGUCUAGAUACUCGGUGAGAAGGCGCUGUGGGAAAGGUGCAGAACUACUUUGUAAGAAAAGAUUCAACUGUGAAACCUUCAACUACGUUUAUAAGGGGGGAAAAAAAGAGGAAGUUUUCAUUUUACCACACUAUAAAUUGAAGGAAAGUAUAUUAUUGCUGUAUGUCACACAAGUUACUGAGUGAAUCCUGCCUCUUUAGAGCACUUUAUACAGUUUACUGGUAAAGACCAGAAGUGUGCAUAAUGAGGAUAUUUAGGCCAUUUUUGGUAUUAAUUUACUUUUUUCAGUGCUUUGUGAUUUGGUCCCAUGGUUCAGUAACUUGAUACAGGUAUUUGUAUCAAGACUGACAGAUACAGGACUGACAGUGUGAUUUGCAGAUUUAUUCUGGCUUCCCAACUUUCUCCGUGGAGGGAUACUUAAACAAUAAAAUAUGUGUGCAAUAAAUCUCAACUCUCCACAAACCUAAACAUGAGCACCUGUCCAUCUCUUAAUCUCAACAGCGCAAGUUGCGCUCAGUCACAAUUCAGUUGGUAAUAGUUAGCAGCAGUUUCUUGCUUUUGCCACGUGUCAUUUUUAUUCACUUCCCUUCCUACUUUUCAUCAUUUAUAGAGGCGUGUUAAAGCUUAUCAGGAUGUGAAGUAGAUGGCUAGUCUGAAUUGCCAGCUGGAAUUCACUUCAGAGUGGUUUGCUUGUACCAGCUAGCAGCUGGUUACCACUAUGGGCAGGUUUUUCAGGAGCUGCAUGUUGAUAACCAUCUGACUUCUGCAAGAACCUGGACAUAGGCAGCCCUUGAAGCAUACCUGCAUGUACAAAUCAGGACACAGGGGGCGGGUUUUGCUACGAUGGGUAGGGAAUUGUAUUGAGGCCCCAAUUAGGGACCAGGAGGUGAGGGGCCACUGCAGGACAACCAGGCAGAAAUGUAAAAAAUCGGUAAUAACUACCAACUGAAACAUAGUACCAAAACCAACGAAUGGAUGUGUGAUUUUAUUGAGUCAGUCCUGCCCAAAGUAAUUAAAACUCCGAGAGACUCUAAGGUUUUGGUCUAGUGUGUUGGAACAAUCGUGAAGCAAGAGCAAAGGCAAACUAGAAAGUUUCUGCUUAGUGAGAGACUGACGGAUUCUUUCCCUCAUGGUUGUUUCUGCUCAUCCACACACAUACAACCCUGUGGAGUCCUUUCUGUUCAGGGGAAGCAAUAGAGGUUGCUUUUCUGUUUGUUUGUUCUUUGUUGUUCAGGGGGCUGCGGGGGUUGUUUUGUUUUGUUUUUUUUCUCUCCCUUUUUUUUAAUAGAACCAUUUCCAUACUUGUGCUUUAUUUUAAAACAACAAGCUGUUGGAAAGAAUGUGGUACAUGAAAAGCUGGUACGUCAAUGGACAGCAGAACACAAACACUGGCUUGAUGCAUGACCAUCAAAAUAACCUGUUUUUCCUCUUAUUUUCCUUUCAUGUUUUAUGAUGUCAAAUAAAAGGAUAAUAGAUUCUU
ensembl:lncRNA